rnacentral:rRNA from 1 species
GCGAACGCUGGCGGCAGGCCUAAUACAUGCAAGUCGAGCGCACCUUCGGGUGAGCGGCGGACGGGUGAGUAACGCGUGGGAACGUGCCCUUUGGUACGGGAUAACUGAGGGAAACUUCAGCUAAUACCGUAUGUGCCCUACGGGGGAAAGAUUUAUCGCCAUUGGAGCGGCCCGCGUUGGAUUAGGUAGUUGGUGGGGUAAAGGCCCACCAAGCCGACGAUCCAUAGCUGGUCUGAGAGGAUGAUCAGCCACACUGGGACUGAGACACGGCCCAGACUCCUACGGGAGGCAGCAGUAGGGAAUCUUGCGCAAUGGGCGAAAGCCUGACGCAGCCAUGCCGCGUGAAUGAUGAAGGUCUUAGGAUUGUAAAAUUCUUUCACCGGGGAAGAUAAUGACGGUACCCGGAGAAGAAGCCCCGGCUAACUUCGUGCCAGCAGCCGCGGUAAUACGAAGGGGGCUAGCGUUGCUCGGAAUUACUGGGCGUAAAGGGCGCGUAGGCGGAUGUUUAAGUCGGGGGUGAAAGCCCGGGGCUCAACCUCGGAAUUGCCUUCGAUACUGGACAUCUUGAGUACGGGAGAGGUGAGUGGAACUCCGAGUGUAGAGGUGAAAUUCGUAGAUAUUCGGAAGAACACCAGUGGCGAAGGCGACUCACUGGCCCGUUACUGACGCUGAGGCGCGAAAG